GUGCUCAGACCGGCGCUAUCUGUUUUUCCGUGAUUCUCUGCAGGACUCUCAGCCCCCGAGAGGCCACAGCCCCGAGCGGGGAUGGCGGGUGGAGACAUUGGCACCGAGUGCUGCCAUCCCUGAGAUCCCCCAGGCCCGGGCCAAGCAGCUUUACAAUCAGGUGGUUUAAUGCAUAUUGAACCUUAUCUUGGAAAUCACCUAGAACAGUGAAACUGAUCCUGUGCUUCCUUUGCAGGUGAGUUGCACAGGUGUGAAAACCAGAACUUAGCCGUGUUGCUCAUACAUUUUCCACCUGAUUUAUCACUAGAUAUUAUUUUAGUUCCAAAACUUCGUCCUUCCACAACAUAGGGACUACUGAUGUGGUUUCUUUACUCAAGCAAAUCGUAUGGCUUUGCUGGAAGUGGUACUACGCUCUUUUGUACAUCUGUGGUUUUCUUUACUGUUUGGUUUUUCUCCUACAGCUGGGCUCACAGCUCAGAAGCACAUAGGAAGGGGAGUGGGGGAGAUGUGUGCUGUGAUCCUGGCUGCUGACAAAAAUGCUUUGCCAAACAAAAACCCAAACCCAAAAAGCACUUUUCCUGCUUGGUGGUGGCGUUUGGGUGAUGUGGCUCACAGCAAGGUCACCCCAGGUGAUUGCUGCUCUACAACUGAGGAGCUGUCAGACAGUGGGAGGAGGAAGGUGCUUCUUAACCCAGCUUUGCCAUCAGACUGUUUUGUGUGUGAUGUGUCAGUGAUCUCAGAGCUCUCUUGGUGCAGUUUGGGAUAAAAUGAAUGAAUAUUUCAAUGGGAGACCCUCCCUGCUCCCAGUCCCAGCAAAGCUUUUCCUUUGCUCUCCUUGACCUAUCUGUGAGCAAAGUUAACCCAAUAAAAGCAGCAAGAACAAGCUGAGGAGAGAAAACUAAAUCACCUAGCAUUAAUGAAGUUAGGGAAAGGUUGGGAGGAAGGACUGUGUAGUUUUGGGGAGGGAAACCCAACUUUUCUGCCCCUUUUCCAUCCCCACCUUAGUGGCUUUGUUUUGUGGGAGAGCUCUGCUGUGCUGUACAGACCACAGCAUGCAGAGUGGCCACGCAGGAGCUGCCAGAUGUUGUGUUUCCAGUGGGAUCUUAAAACCAGGGACGAGCACUGCACACCAGCAGCACCUGAGCCAGAAGGAUGCGAUUGAUGUGUCUGUCUUGGGAGCCGUAAUACGCUGUUACUGUCCAGUUUCAUGCUGGUUUAACCAGAUGUGUGAAAUUAAGCUCCCUGAUAAGUUUAAUGAGGUGGUAACUCCGGAGCCUGAUGGUUUAAGGAGCUCCCUGUUAAUUCUUUGUGUCAGUCCUCUUGUUCAUCAGGUGGUGAGUAUUUUCCACCUGAUGUCUCACCCUGCUGAUGGUGCCAGGGUAACCACAACAGCAUGAAGUCUGGUUUUGAAGGAACACUAAGUUCAUAAUGUGCCUCCUCUGCAGAACUGAAGCAGUGUCGCUGGUUUGGGACCCUCUGGUGCCAGACCUGAGUGCUGUGUGGCUGUGACACAACACUCUGACCCAGUACAAGCUCACUUUGCAAACUCUCAUUUGCUCAGACCAGCCCAGGAGGUGAAUGCUGUGCCCACAGGCUUUCUGCUGGCCACACAGCUGAUCUCCUUCUCUCAGCAUGAAGCAGGAUAAGCUCUGGGCUAUGGGUUACAGCCAUUCCUGCAGGAAUGCAGUCAUGUUCCAUGCCUGGUAUGAUCUGUCACAUUUUCCUGUGACACCACAGGCUUCAGAGUAGCUUCCCCCCAGCUGGAAAGGGGAUGGUGCCAAGGGUGGUGGUUGGCACUGGUGGAAGUUUUCAUGGUAGAAAUGCUAUCAGGAAGGAUUUUAAGGAAAGCUGGGGGUGGGAUGCUGCUGUUUCAGUUGAUGCUGAUCCAGAGAAAAUGGGUCUGUAGGGCAGUGAUCUCCAGCUCAGUGGAUUUGUACCUCACACCCUGAGUGGUGACAUCUGCUGCACUGAGCGAAGCUGGGCUUUGUUCACCAGAUGCAGACACAUGGCUUGAAUUUGUAACCAGUUCUCCCUUUCUGCUUUGUCUCUUGAUGUUGAGCUGACCUGGGCAGAGCUGCCUGGCAGUCUCAGCCUGCAGCUGAACACAUUUCACCUGUGUACUGCUGCGGACUGACAUCCUUUGUUCAGUUUGUUAUUUGAACAAGUGUUUCUCUUUCACUAAUUUUGCUCUUCCCUGGGUUACACAUUGGUAUAUUCAGCCACAGGGGCUGUCAGAACAAAGCAUGUGGAGCCCUAGAUAGAAUCACAGGGUUAUCGCAUGGUUUGGGUUGGAAGGGACCUUAAAGCUCAUCUAGUCCCAACCCCUGUGUAUGGGCAGGGCAAGUGUGAUUGCGAAUAUCCUGAUCGUAGUUACACCCAGAAAAUGAGCUGUAUUUACCUUUUAAAUGGAAAAUUUGUGAAUGUUAUUAUAUUUAAAACGUUUCAGGUUUUUGCUAAAGGAGGGAAAGGUUGAGUGUAACUAUCUCAUAAGCUUGAAGAAUCUUAAUUUUUAAAACAAAGUUAUUUGACUGAGGAUUUUCCUGUCAACUAGCUUUCAAACUAACGUGUUUUCUCAUGUCCAUUAACAUAUGACCACUUGCAGGAGGGCCCUGGGCCAGGAGCUGUUCGUGACAGCCUGGUGGGAUCUGACUUCCCCGUGUCCACACUGAGCACCUCUGACACCCAUGCCCAGCUUCCCUGCACUGUAUUUGCUGUGUCUGAACACCGUGGUGGUUUAUUUUCAGGUGCCUGGACCAGAAGAUCCAUUCGCAGGAUGGUGAGAGCACUGCUUUUGCAGUUUGGUUACAGCUGUGUGGUCUUUUUAGGUAAUAGAAAGUCCUUUUGCUUAGCUAGAUGGUAAGCACGAAUAAAAUCCAGUUCUCAAAGUUGA